UGUCAUGUUUCCAUUGAGGUUUUGUUUCAACCUCGUACACAGGUUAUUUUCUCUCAUGCUACCCUUACAAGGAUGGGUGUUUUUAAUUCCUGGUAUAGGGGUAAUUUUAUCGGCAUCUUUGUUGCUUCAAUUGCCUGAUUAUACAUCUUUUCUUCCUUCCCGCCAUUUAACUAUUCUUAUUUUCUUAUUAUAGCCUGCGUAGCAGCUGGUUUUCCUCUCACCAAAAAACUGGCUGCUACCGACAGGCUAUUCUUAUUACUACCAUUCCUUUUUCUCCAUCCAUUCUCACUUCUUACCAAACUACCAUCCAAUUUCUCUUGUUUCCCUUUUCGUAUUCCUUCCUGACGUCUUUCCUCUUAUUUUAUAGUUUUAGAAAAAAUAAAGAUAACUGAAUACUCAGCCCCAGAACGGGUUGGCUCAUUGAAAAGGCGUGAGUGCAUGAUGGAUCGGUGAAAGAUGUUUCAACUAUUUUUUCUGUGAAGAAAAAAACAUUUUUAGACCAAGGGGCAUAGGUCAGUUGUUCAAAAAGUGUCGCUUAUAAAUGAACAAAUUCUUCAAAGCAAUUUUUCCACCAGCUUGUUUUUGAACAUGGAAAUAUUUUUCUAGAAAUCUCGUCUGGGUCGAUAGAAGUUUUACUUUCUAAAGUUUUGAAAGAAUCUGACAUGCAGAAACGCACAAACCAAAACAGCAGGUUUAAUUUUUAACCCAGGGUUCGAGCUAAUCUAGCCUUCUUCGCAGGCAACUAGUAAAGAAUGCUUUUGGUACGUUUUGACCUUUUAUAGGUACCCACAGAGUUGCCUGCGGAAGAGGCUAGCACUAACCCAUCUUUGAACGACCGGCCUUAGCUUUGAAAAUUUAUUCAAGAAACUCAAGAAAUGUAUAUAUGUAAUCUGAAUACCUUUCGUUUAGGUCACAGCCGCAAAAUUUUUUUUCUUAGUCUAAUUCUUUUUCUACUCGAAUGCAUGACGGCACUCGUGUAAAUCAGGUUAAAUCAAUGGUUUUCAUUUACACGAAAUAGUAUUUUAGCUUUUGUAUUACUGUAAUAGAUAGUUUAUUUACUCUUGUAACAACACUGGACCAAUUAGUAACAAUUGUAAAACAACUGUCGAGUUGUCUAGCUUGUUUUAAUACUGAUAGACCUGUACUCCAAGUACAAACACCUUAAUUGUAAGUAAAAUUGGAAAUAUUUUAUAAAUAAAAUUUGAAUUAAAGCAUUUGAGCGUUUAAAUGACUUCCUUCACAAUUGCAGAAUAUUUGGCCUUUUGAGAAACGUCGCCUGUAAAAUUAAGCAAUUUAUAAUCACUCCGUGAUCUCUAACUUCAUGAACCAAUAAGCUCAAUGACUGCAUGAUACUCUGCUUUUCAUUUUGAAUUACAAUCAGG